rnacentral:lncRNA from 1 species
UAACAUUAUAAAGUUGAAAGGAUUAUAUAAGUAGUAUUAAUAAUGUAGACAAAAAUAGAAAAGCAAAAAACAAUAAUAAAAAUGAGUGAAGGAAUUUUCACUGCGUUUCAUGCAUAUGAGGUCUGGUGGAUAUAAAAUGGAAGGAAGCCAGAAUGAUAAAGCAGGUGGGCAACCCAGUGGAACUUGCAGUAGCAGAGAACUUAGAAAUAUGCAAGAACAAAGCAGGGAUGAAAACUGUAAACGACAGGCAAGUAGAACAACUCCCAAAACCUUGGGAGUAUAUAUUAAAACAUUAAUCCUUCAGUCCGAAGCUAAAUUGAACUCAAUUUAAACGCAAUACUAAAUGGCAACACCAUCAGACCUCAUAUGCAUGAAACGCGAUGAAAAUUUUUUCGCUCAUUUUUAUUGUUGUUUUCUGUUUUUGUUUUUCUAUUUUUGUUUAUAUUAAUACUGUUUAUAUGAUCUUUUUAGCUUUGUGGUGUUAACCCAUAUAAGUAAGAGUUAUAAAAAAAUUUAAAUUUAAAAACCAG